CCUGGGCAUGUCAGUUUUGCUUUUUGCUAUUUACUUUCACCCUGGUUGGAGAAAUUGACAGCUGGUUCAUCCAAUUUACCUGUUAACUGUGGCUUAGAAACUUUCCUAAUAUUAAUAGAGGGCAUGUCAGAGCGAGCAUCUUAGGAUUCGAAAACUCAGGGCAGGGCCUGUAUGCCUGGGUUUUCUUUACCUCUGUCCAGAGACAGGCAAUGGGCAGGGAUGAUGGGAAGAGAGGCUAUGCUGGUAAAGAGUGGUUAAUUCCAGUCAGCCUAAAGUAGGAUGGGAUAUUUGACCACUAAUGUCUAGCUGCUCCAUCUAAGAGAGGGGACACCUUCACAUAACCAAGAAAGGACAAUAGGCACUGGAUGCUGGUUUUUUCUCUUUUUUUGAAUGGGAGCCACAUCCUCAAGCCUGGUGCAUGGCUCAAUAGCAACUCCUCUGACUUGUGCCGUGAAGAACUGGAAAAAUUUUGACCCUGAGACUCUGAAAAAGAAACAUUUAAUUUUCUUUUGCGCAAAACCCUGCUACUAUAUAAUCUGUCAGAUGGAAAGCAAUGGCCAUCUGAAGGCUCUCUAGCUUAUAAUACUAUUCUCCAAUGAGAUCUAUUUGGUAGAUGAGAAGGGGAAUGGUCAGAGGUGCCUUAUUAUGUCUUCUUUACAAUGAGGGAAGACACUACACUGAGGAAGGCUUGUGGACUUUCUCAGUACAUUAUGCCAACUCCCUCAAGACCUAGGUUCCCACUAUAUUCUGGCCCAACUGGGUCAGACCCUCCAGAAGUUAAUCAGCCUUCAAUACCACCCAAGGCUCCUCCUCUUCCCCCUCCAGUGCUAAAGUUAUAUCCCUCUCUACUCCCUUUACAAGAAGUGGCAAACGGAGAAUGGGGACCAAAUACAGGUCCAUAUGCCUAUUUAACUUCAGGACUUAAGGCAAAUAAAAACAGAUUUGGGAAAAUUUGCUGAUGACCCAGAUAUAUUGAGGUCUUUCAGGAUCUCAUACAGUCCUUUGAGUUAGCCUGGAAAGACGUCAUGUUAUUACUAAAACAGACAUUGACUAUAAGUGAAAAAAAAAAUGCAUAAAGUCUUUGAAACUGCUCAAAACUGGGGAAGAUGAAUGGAAUGAUGCUAUAAGUUCCAGAGGCAAAUUAGAAGAGAUAGAACAAGAUUCCCCACAGGGUGUCAGGCAGUUCCUGUGAGUGAUCCCAGUUGGUCUGCUGAUGAAGGAGAUAACCACAAUUGGCAUAGAAACAAUUUUAUUGCUUGUAUAGUUGAGGGAUUAAAAGCCUCAUGGGUAAAGCCCGUUAAAAAUUAUCAGAGGUUUACUAGGGGAACAAGAGAGUCCAUCAGCUUUCUUAGAAAGACUCAGAAAGGCAUUGAGAAAACCUACACCAAGGAACCCAGAAACAAUGGAGGGCUGAAUAAUUCUUAAGGAUAAAUUCGUAGCUCAAUCAGUGCUAGAUAUAUGGAGAAAGUUCCAAAAACUGGCUUUUGGUCCUGAUCAGGACCUGAAGCACCUCCUCAGAGUAGCAACUCAAGUAUGUUAUAAUCGGGCCCAGGAAGAAUGAAAGGAGAACAAGAAGAGAGACAGAGAAAAGGCUGAGGCUCUAGUUAUGGCACUACAGGGAGUCAACCUGGGAGCUUCCAAGGUAAGAGGACUAGGGCAGAGACCUACACCUGGAGCCUGUUUCCUCUGUGCAAAAGAGGGACCGUUUAAAUGGGAAUGCCCCAAGCCUCAGAUCACAGCACCUAGGCCAUGCCCCAUAUGUUGGGGAGAUCAUUGGAAGAGGGACUGUCCCUGAAGACUGAGGUCUCUGGGGUUGACCCCUCAGGCCCAGGAUCAAGACUGACCGGACAUUUCCAUAAUGGCUCCUGUCCUUAUCACCAUUCAGGAGCCCUGGGUGACUUUAAAUGUAUGAAGACAGCCUAUCAACUUCCUCCUGAAGUCCUCCUCUCCACUCCUGGGCCCCUCCCUCAUGAAUCUGCCACAUUCAUAUUUCUGGCAAGCCAGUUACAAAAAUUUUUACACAACCUUUGAGUUGUGACUGGGAAUCCAUUUUCUCUCAUGCCUUUCUGAUUGUUCCAGAGAGUCCAACUCCUCUUUUAGAAAGAGAUAUUUUUUGUAAGAGGUUAAAGCUUCAAUUCACAUGGCAAUGGAGGAUUUCCCAUCAUGGUGCAGCAGAAACAAAUCUGACUAGGAACCAUAAGGUUUCAGGUUCAAUCCCUGGCUUGGCUCAGUGGGUUGGGGAUC
rnacentral:lncRNA from 1 species